AUUGAACGCUGGCGGAAUGCUUUACACAUGCAAGUCGAACGGCAGCACGGGGGCAACCCUGGUGGCGAGUGGCGAACGGGUGAGUAAUACAUCGGAACGUGCCCAGUCGUGGGGGAUAACGUAGCGAAAGUUACGCUAAUACCGCAUACGAUCUACGGAUGAAAGCGGGGGAACGUAAGGCCUCGCGCGAUUGGAGCGGCCGAUGUCAGAUUAGGUAGUUGGUGAGGUAAAGGCUCACCAAGCCGACGAUCUGUAGCUGGUCUGAGAGGACGACCGGGCACACUGGGACUGAGACACGGCCCAGACUCCUACGGGAGGCAGCAGUGGGGAAUUGUGGACAAUGGGCGCGAGCCUGAUCCAGCCAUUCCGCGUGCAGGACGAAGGCCUUCGGGUUGUAAACUGCUUUUGUACGGAACGAAAAGGCUCUGGUUAAUACCUGGGGCUCAUGACGGUACCGUAAGAAUAAGCACCGGCUAACUACGUGCCAGCCGCCGCCGUAA
rnacentral:rRNA from 1 species